rnacentral:rRNA from 1 species
UUUUUUGAGAGUUUGAUCCUGGCUCAGGAUGAACGCUGGCGGCGUGGAUAAGGCAUGCAAGUCGAGUGGUCGUUUCUCACUCUGUUCGAAACGACCCGCGGAAACACGCGGACGAAACGCGGAAACACGCGGACGAAACUAAAAAGUUUUUGUCUGCGAAAUUCUGCGUCAAGUCUGCGAUAGUCUGCGGGGCGGUCGAGCGAAGCGAGAAGCGACCACGGCAAACGGGUUAGUAAUACAUAGGAACGUACCCUCAAGUCGUGAAUAAUCCAGAGAAAUCUGGAAUAAUACACGAUAAUCUCUACGGAGUAAAGAUUUAUCGCUUGAGGAGCGGCCUGUGUCCUAUCAGCUAGUUGGUAAGGUAAUGGCUUACCAAGGCUAUGACGGGUAGGGGGCGUGAGAGCGUGAUCCCCAACAUUGGAACUGAGACACUGUCCAAACACCUACGGGUGGCUGCAGUCGAGAAUAUUCCACAAUGGGCGAAAGCCUGAUGGAGCGACGCCGCGUGCGGGAAGAAGACCCUUGGGUUGUAAACCGCUUUUGUAAGGGAAGAAUGGUCGUUUCUCACUCUGUUCGAAACGACCCGCGGAAACACGCGGACGAAACGCGGAAAGACGCGGACGAAACUGAAAAGUUUUUGUCUGCGAAAUUCUGCGUCAAGUCUGUGAUAGUCUGCGGGGCGCUUUUGAGCGAAGCGAGAAGCGACCAAUGACGGUACCUUGCGAAUAAGAGGUUGCUAACUCUGUGCCAGCAGCAGCGGUAAUACAGAGACCUCAAGCGUUAUCCGGAUUUAUUGGGCGUAAAGAGCAUGUAGGCGGAUAUAUUAGUCAGAUGUCAAAUCUUCGAGCUCAACUCGAAAACUGCAUUUGAAACGGUAUAUCUUGAGGAAGUGAGAGAUCAAUGGAACGUAUGGUGUAGCAGUGAAAUGCGUUGAUAUCAUACGGAACACCAAAGGCGAAGGCAUUUGAUUGGCACUUUUCUGACGCUGAGAUGCGAAAGCGUGGGUAGCGAAUGGGAUUAGAUACCCCAGUAGUCCACGCCGUAAACGAUGCAUACUUGGUAUUACGAGAAUCGACCCUCGUAGUGUCGUAGCUAACGCGUUAAGUAUGCCGCCUGGGAAGUACGAGCGCAAGCUUAAAACUCAAAGGAAUAGACGGGGAUCCGCACAAGUGGUGGAGCAUGUGGUUUAAUUCGACGACAAGCGAGGAACCUCACCAGGGCUUGAAACCUAGCUGCAUUGUACAGAAAUGUACAAGCCUUCGAGGGUGCUAGGCAGGCGUUGCACGGUCGUCGUCAGCUCGUGUCGUAAGAUGUUCUGUUAAGUCAGGAAACGAGCGCAACCCCUAUCGUGUGUUAUUAUGUCACACGAGACUGCCCAGAACUUUGUUCAUAAAGUUUUUAUGAGUAAAGUUCUGGGAGGAAGGCGGGGAUGACGUCAGAUCAGCGUGGCCCUUUGACGCCCUGGGCUACACACGUGCUACAAUGGCCAUUACAAAGGGUAGCCAAAUCGCAAGAUGGAGCUAAUCCCAUAAAGAUGGUCUCAGUUCGGAUUGAGGUCUGCAACUCGACCUCAUGAAGCCGGAAUCACUAGUAAUCGUGAAUCAGCCAUGUCACGGUGAAUACGUUCUCGGAUCUUGUACUCACCGCCCGUCACACCAAGAGAGUCGGUAACACCGGAAGACCCCGAAUUAAAUCGGGGGCCAGGGUGGGAUCGAUGAUAAGGGUGAAGUCGUAACAAGGCAUCGGUAGCGGAAGCUGUCGAUGGAUCACCUCCUUU